UGAAUGUCUGUUAUCUGACGACUACAGGAAAGAGCACAGCCCACAGAAACCAAAAGGUUCAAAUGACAGUUUCUAAUGCAGUCUCUGUACAAAAGGAGAAUCUGGUGAGAAUCAGCUUAGUGUUUUUUUACAACGGGGAGAAGACGAUGAUACUUUCCAGCUUCAAAAGCUUCUUUAUUUAUUAUUAUUUGAGCUCCUUAUUCUACCCAAGCAAUGGUUUUGAGGUGAUCCAGCCACAGAAUAAGACUAAUAACCCAGAUACAGUUUUCAUCAGCUGUAACUUUACAGCAAACACUGGGACAAUUGUAGAUGUUCGACUCAACAAGGUUUUACCAGAGAAAAAGAUGCUCUGCCAGACUGAAUCUGAAGCCUGUCAUAACAUUAUCGUACUUAAAGACGCUCCAUUCAAGUACAUUUUCAUCUUACUCAAUGCUGGGCCAGAGGCAUGGACCUCAAAGUAUGAAUGUGAGUGGUCAGCAACAAAUAAGGAUGGGACGGACAAAACCGUGACAAGUGCAGCAAACAAAUUAAUUAAACUGCAACUACAAGGUCAACUGGGAACCACACCACAGUGUACUCCUCCCCCUUCACCUCCUCCCCCUCAGUCCCAUCAGCUCAUGUGGAUUUUGAUUGGUCUGCUGGCCCUGAUGUUUGUGUACAGCUGUAUCAUCACCUCCUUCUACAUGAGGCUUAUGAACAGCAGCAAAGAUUGCGAAAACUCCACCUAUGUUGAAAUGAGGAACGUUCCAGUUCAGCUGCAUCCUCACCACAUUUACAAUACUAUGCAAAAGGCUUGAGCUGCCCCUCAUUUCUUUAUAUCUUAUUAGGAAAAUGGGUAAUAGGUUCAACAAUGUCUUAAAACAUGUAAAAAUACAUGGAAAUACAGUAUCUGCAGUAAAUACAACUGUGUACACAAAUGCAUAAACAGAGUCUGCACAAUUCUAAGGAACUUUAAAUAUUUCAUAUGACCAAACUUAUUCUUCUACAUAGCCUGAGGGGGGGAGCUGGGGGGUGGGGGGUGGGGGGGCUGGCUGCCUUUAUUCCAUUAAGCUGGUGUUGAGGCCCAGACCAUGACUAACAGUUUUCUACCCAGAUAUGCUUUUUUUCUCAAUCCAUACGACCUGUUGACACUGACUGAAUAGACUGUAAAGUAGGCAUUGAUUAAAGUAUAACUUUGAAAGAGCUUUAGAAACCUUAGAGAACUGCUGAUCAUGACCAGUUUAAAAUGUUACAAGAAAGUUUAGCUCCUUAGAAGCAAAAUAUAAAGAAAUGAGGGUCGCUCAAGACUUUUGCACAGUACUGUAGCUCACUCAUCUGUCUUCAGUAUCUUCAAAAAGAAGACGUGAACAGCUCAUAUUGUGCUCUCAACAUUUUGUUCUUCAGUAUUUGACAGUUCAUUAAGUUGUAUUGUGCAAUAGUAGAAAACCUGUGUAGUACUGAAGUAAAGAGGGGGGGUGAACUGACCUCUUAAAGGCACAUGGUUUUAUUGACCUAUAAUAUUAUCCAUUAGUUUAAUCUUUUUAAAGUCUUACUUUAUUAAAAGAAUGUCAGCUAUUGACUUGAUGUAAUUCCUCAAAAUAGUAAGUGUGGAUUGUACAUGUAGCAUCGUGGUUGGAUUUUGUCUCUGACAUGUUGAAACCUCAUGAUUCUUCCCUGCUCUUAGGUCUUCAGGUCAGAGGUCACGGUUGGUCCUACGUACCAAACUCGUGGGGAUCCAGCUUUUCACGCACCAAAGCUGUGGUAUUCUCUUCCAUUGUCUUUACGCCGUGCAGACCCCACUGACUCUUUCAAAAAGUAGCUGAAGACAUUUCUAUACAAACAAGUUUUUAAUUAAUUUUCUCAUUGUUUUGUUUUAUUUAUAUUUCUGGUUUUAUUGUGAAGCACUUUGUGAUUUUUAUCAGUAAAAAGUGCUAUAAAUACAUCUUACUUACUUACUUUUCUAAAUCUUCAAGGAAACUUUGCCUUAAUCUUGUAUUCAAAUUACAAUAUUUUAUACUAUGUUUUGUGUAGUUUCCACGUGCUUCAGUGUUUCUGCACACGCACACAACAAUGGUACAAUUUCUAAUUAUUGCGGUACUACAUGCCUUAUUGCUAAUAAUAUUAUAUUUUUAUAAAUAUACCUCAAGCUCCCCAUUAGUGGCCAGUUUGGUUUCUGUCUCAUCGCUUGUAUCAUUUUAUGAUACACAUUGUUGAGGGUGGGGGAUACCUACUUAUCGUAGUUUACACAUUUCAAGCUGGAGAAAACGGUGUGCCCAUCAGCAGCCACAGAAUCGGUUCAAUAUCCUUUAUUAAGGAUAAAUGUAAUUGUAACCUCUUAGUUAAUCUGAACGAUAAGCUGUUGUUUUGCUGGAGGGGAACAAAAAAUCAUUGUAUUUGUCAUCACAUGUAGCAAAUAUCAUACCUUGACUUUUGAAUGGCCUGUUGUCUUUAUGUGUCUUUUAUUUCAAAAUAGAUUUGUAUGGUUUCUUUUAACCAAUAAAAAUUAAAUCCAAAAA
ensembl:lncRNA